AUGCCUUAGUACGGCGAGUGAAGCGGCAAAAGCUCAAAUUUGAAAUCUGGCGUCUUCGACGUCCGAGUUGUAAUUUGAAGAAGGCAACUUUGUAGCUGGUCCUUGUCUAUGUUCCUUGGAACAGGACGUCAUAGAGGGUGAGAAUCCCGUGUGGCGAGGAUCCCAGUUAUUUGUAAAGUGCUUUCGACGAGUCGAGUUGUUUGGGAAUGCAGCUCUAAGUGGGUGGUAAAUUCCAUCUAAAGCUAAAUAUUGGCGAGAGACCGAUAGCGAACAAGUACAGUGAUGGAAAGAUGAAAAGAACUUUGAAAAGAGAGUGAAAAAGUACGUGAAAUUGUUGAAAGGGAAGGGCAUUUGAUCAGACAUGGCGUUUGCUUCGGCUUUCGCUGGGCCAGCAUCAGUUUUAGCGGUUGGAUAAAUCCUCGGGAAUGUGGCUCUGCUUCGGUAGAGUGUUAUAGCCCGUGGGAAUACAGCCAGCUGGGACUGAGGAUUGCGACUUUUGUCAAGGAUGCUGGCGUAAUGGUUAAAUGCCACCCGUCUUG
rnacentral:rRNA from 1 species